CAGCAGCCGCGGUAAUACAGAGGGUGCGAGCGUUAAUCGGAUUUACUGGGCGUAAAGCGUGCGUAGGCGGCUUUUUAAGUCGGAUGUGAAAUCCCUGAGCUUAACUUAGGAAUUGCAUUCGAUACUGGGAAGCUAGAGUAUGGGAGAGGAUGGUAGAAUUCCAGGUGUAGCGGUGAAAUGCGUAGAGAUCUGGAGGAAUACCGAUGGCGAAGGCAGCCAUCUGGCCUAAUACUGACGCUGAGGUACGAAAGCAUGGGGAGCAAACAGGAUUAGAUACCCGAGUAGUCCCUGUCUCUUAUAA
rnacentral:rRNA from 1 species